AGUGGUUCUCAGGUGACACACCCCAGAAUCUGGCUUCCUCCUCUCUGGUUCCGGGUGCAUCACCUGAGAACCGCA
rfam:Myotis davidii contig39548, whole genome shotgun sequence.